rnacentral:rRNA from 1 species
CCUACGGGUGGCAGCAGUGGGGAAUAUUGGACAAUGGGGGCAACCCUGAUCCAGCCAUGCCGCGUGUGUGAAGAAGGCCCUCGGGUUGUAAAGCACUUUCAGUGAGGAAGAACGCCUGGUGGUUAAUACCCAUCAGGAAAGACAUCACUCACGGAAGAAGCACCGGCUAACUCCGUGCCAGCAGCCGCGGUAAUACGGAGGGUGCGAGCGUUAAUCGGAAUUACUGGGCGUAAAGCGCGCGUAGGUGGCUUGAUAAGCCGGUUGUGAAAGCCCCGGGCUCAACCUGGGAACGGCAUCCGGAACUGUCAAGCUAGAGUGCAGGAGAGGAAGGUAGAAUUCCCGGUGUAGCGGUGAAAUGCGUAGAGAUCGGGAGGAAUACCAGUGGCGAAGGCGGCCUUCUGGACUGACACUGACACUGAGGUGCGAAAGCGUGGGUAGCAAACAGGAUUAGAUACCCCGGUAGUC